rnacentral:rRNA from 1 species
CGGGGGGGUGCCUAAUACAUGCAGUCGAACGAAACUUUCUUACACCGAAUGCUUGCAUUCACCGUAAGAAGUUGAGUGGCGGACGGGUGAGUAACACGUGGGUAACCUGCCUAAAAGAAGGGGAUAACACUUGGAAACAGGUGCUAAUACCGUAUAUCUCUAAGGAUCGCAUGAUCCUUAGAUGAAAGAUGGUUCUGCUAUCGCUUUUAGAUGGACCCGCGGCGUAUUAACUAGUUGGUGGGGUAACGGCCUACCAAGGUGAUGAUACGUAGCCGAACUGAGAGGUUGAUCGGCCACAUUGGGACUGAGACACGGCCCAAACUCCUACGGGAGGCAGCAGUAGGGAAUCUUCCACAAUGGACGCAAGUCUGAUGGAGCAACGCCGCGUGAGUGAAGAAGGUCUUCGGAUCGUAAAACUCUGUUGUUAGAGAAGAACACGAGUGAGAGUAACUGUUCAUUCGAUGACGGUAUCUAACCAGCAAGUCACGGCUAACUACGUGCCAGCAGCCGCGGUAAUACGUAGGUGGCAAGCGUUGUCCGGAUUUAUUGGGCGUAAAGGGAACGCAGGCGGUCUUUUAAGUCUGAUGUGAAAGCCUUCGGCUUAACCGGAGUAGUGCAUUGGAAACUGGAAGACUUGAGUGCAGAAGAGGAGAGUGGAACUCCAUGUGUAGCGGUGAAAUGCGUAGAUAUAUGGAAGAACACCAGUGGCGAAAGCGGCUCUCUGGUCUGUAACUGACGCUGAGGUUCGAAAGCGUGGGUAGCAAACAGGAUUAGAUACCCUGGUAGUCCACGCCGUAAACGAUGAAUGCUAGGUGUUGGAGGGUUUCCGCCCUUCAGUGCCGCAGCUAACGCAAUAAGCAUUCCGCCUGGGGAGUACGACCGCAAGGUUGAAACUCAAAGGAAUUGACGGGGGCCCGCACAAGCGGUGGAGCAUGUGGUUUAAUUCGAAGCAACGCGAAGAACCUUACCAGGUCUUGACAUCCUUUGACCACCUAAGAGAUUAGGCUUUCCCUUCGGGGACAAAGUGACAGGUGGUGCAUGGCUGUCGUCAGCUCGUGUCGUGAGAUGUUGGGUUAAGUCCCGCAACGAGCGCAACCCUUGUUGUCAGUUGCCAGCAUUAAGUUGGGCACUCUGGCGAGACUGCCGGUGACAAACCGGAGGAAGGUGGGGACGACGUCAAGUCAUCAUGCCCCUUAUGACCUGGGCUACACACGUGCUACAAUGGACGGUACAACGAGUCGCGAGACCGCGAGGUUUAGCUAAUCUCUUAAAGCCGUUCUCAGUUCGGAUUGUAGGCUGCAACUCGCCUACAUGAAGUCGGAAUCGCUAGUAAUCGCGAAUCAGCAUGUCGCGGUGAAUACGUUCCCGGGCCUUGUACACACCGCCCGUCACACCAUGAGAGUUUGUAACACCCAAAGCCGGGGGGGUAACCGCAAGGGAAGCCGUGCCAUGUAUAAAGGGCGGACACAG